rnacentral:lncRNA from 1 species
AUGGCAUUAUCUAGCCUGUAUACCUCUAGGCCAGAGCAUGACUUUUCCCUCCACAGUUUUUUCGGAGGUUUUGCCACCGCUGAAGCCACCAACCACCUUGACUUGGAUUUCAAUGAAUUCCACUGGAUGAGCCAAAACGAUGCAGUGUAUGAAAUAAGAAGCGAGGUCUUCCCAGCCACUGCGUUGAACCAGACUGCCCAAACCCAGCAGCGUGUUUGUCUUGGAGCAAUGCAGGGCUCAAUACAAAUGUUACUUGACCUAGAAAAUGAGGGCUCACAAGGAAAAGGAGAAGCCUUUCAAUAUUUUGAUGAAUCUUGUGAAACGGAUGCAUUUCCUGGGAAGACUGUCAAAAGAGUAAAUUUCAGUGAUGGCUUGCCCCACUCCUACGAUUAUUCCUAUGGUCAAAAUAAUUGCCUGAUGUACAAAUAG